rnacentral:rRNA from 1 species
AUGGCUCAUGGCAGCAGCGGCGACGGCGGGGGAGGAGACGGAGAUCUGGCCGUGGUGUCCGUGGAAGCGAAGCCGCAGCCGUGGCGAGCGCCCGCCCUCGACGUGCCGCCCUUCCUCAUCUUUGAGAAGUGCAGGGCGCCGGAGCUCUUGGACUGCCAUGCCUGCCACCUCCCCCUCAAACCGCCUAUCUUCUCGUGCGACGACGGGCAUCUGAUGUGCUCGUGCUGCCGCGGUGCGCACGGCGAGGACUGCGGCCGCGUCGCCGCCCACUGCCGCCUGGCAGACGCCUACGCCGGUGCCGUCAAGCUGCCGUGCGACUACGUCGAGUUCGGCUGCGAGGCGGGCCUCGUCGGGCCCGGGGGCGGCGAAGGCGGCUGCGACUUCUCCGGCUCCCGGCAGAUGCUCCUCGACCACAUCUCCACGGAACACUCCCGCCCCGUCAUCGUCGUCCGCUAUGGCCAGCCGGGGAAGCUCAGCCUGCCCCUGACCCGGCGCUGGCACGUCCUCGUCGGCGAGGAGGAUAUGGCGGACCGGCAGCGGAACGUGUUCCUGCUGGUCCUCGCCGAGCAAGACAAGGGCGCCGCGGUGUCGAUGGUGUGCGUCAGGGCGGACGAAGGCGCACCGGCGGUGCCGCAGUUCUCGUACAAGCUCACCGUGGAGCACGCCGGCAGUGGUGCGAGGGUGACGUUCGAGUUGCCCGUGAUGACAUGCAGCUCCCUGCCCGGUGGCACGCCAUGGCCGGACGAGGUCACGUCUCUGUACGUGCCGAAAGCGUAUUUGUCUGGCGACGCUGUCCCCCUCGGCAUCCACAUUGACAAACUCGUUCCUCCUCCUCUUCCUCCUCCUUCUGACACUACUCCUCCUGCGCCGGCAACCGCCGCCGUCUUCAAGUUCACAGCGACAGAUCAAGGCAACAAGAAACGAAAAUCUAGCAAUCCGAGGAAACUCUAG